GUGGAGAGAAGCUGAGGUUGAGUGGAGAGAAGCUGAGAUCAAGCAGAGAGAAGCUGAGGUUGAGUGGAGAGAAGCUGAGGUUGAGUGGAGAGAAGCUGAGGUUGAGUGGAGAGAAGCUGAGGUUGAGUGGAGAGAAGCUGAGGUUGAGUGGAGAGAAGCUGAGGUUGAGUGGAGAGAGGCUGGGAACCAGUGAUGAGAAGCUGAGGUUGAGUGGAGAGAAGCUGAGGUUGAGUGGAGAGAAGCUGAGAUCAAGCAGAGAGAAGCUGAGGUUGAGUGGAGAGAAGCUGGGAACCAGUGAUGAGAAGCUGAGGUUGAGUGGAGAGAAGCUAAGAUCAAGCAGAGAGAAGCUGAGGUUGAGUGGAUAGAAGCUAAGAUCAAGCAGAGAGAAGCUGAGACUGAGUGGAGAGAAGCUGGGAACAAGUGAUGAGAAGCUGAGGUUGAGUGGAGAGAAGCUGAGAUCAAGCAGAGAGAAGCUGGGAACCAGUGGAGAGAAGCUAAGAUCAAGCAGAGAGAAGCUGAGGUUGAGUGGAGAGAAGCUGGGAACAAGUGAUGAGAAGCUGAGGUUGAGUGGAGAGAAGCUGAGAUCAAGCAGAGAGAAGCUGGGAACCAGUGGAGAGAAGCUGAGAUCAAGCAGAGAGAAGCUGAGGUUGAGUGGAGAGAAGCUGGGGUCAAGUGCGGAGAAGCUGAGAUCUAGUGAGGAGAAGUUAGGGACCAGCGGGGAGAAAUUGGAGGGUUCAAGAAUGGGGAGCAUAAAUGAGAAGAACAUUGAAAAAGUGGUAGAAGUUACUGGUGAUGAAAGAGUGAUGGCAUUUACUGAUGAUGAGAUGGAAAUUCCUUUUGAAAGUGUCAAAGGGAGUGAGGAACUACAAGGGACUGAGAAAGGAGUGGGAGUUGAGGGGAGCAUCUUGAGUGAAGUGAAAGAUAUCACUGAUGAAUCUGUUUCUAUGGAAAAGAAAGAUAUUAUAGGUGAAGGUACCAGUGAAUGAGGCAGAUGAAGGAUUGACACCAAAGAAGGAAAGAGGCAGACAGGAGAAGUACUGAAAGUCAGAGGAGAAAUUAGAGCCAGGCAGAACAUUAUUGACACUGAAGGGGUAAAGUUGAGAAAGGAAAGGAGAGAGUCUGAGCCUAAAAUAAAAGAGAGUGGAAGUGAGGAAAAGAGCUUCUGGGGCUGAAGGCGGAGGCCAGGAUCAAAGGAAGCAAAGAGGAGUGUCUGGUUCAGAGGGAAGUGGGAACAUAUGGAGGAGAAAGAGAAGACUUGGUAACGUGUUGACAGAGGACACUUGGAUAUUGGGAGAAAAGCUGUGACUGGGAGCUCAUAGGGAAAUGUUUGAGAAAAGGAUGGAGGAUGGGCUAGAAGGAUUUAGUCUGACACUAAAUGGGGUCUAUGAGAUGGAGAAUUGCAGCAGGAUAAAGGGUAGAUUUUGAGAGUUGUGGAAGAAGGUGCAGACUGAAGUGGGCAAAAUUUCUGAAAGAGGAGCCUGAAGAAUGAAGGGCUCCCAAGUGACAAAAGCAGGAGAGGAGAUAAGAAAGAAGUGAGAAAAAACACAAGAAGCCACGUGCCAUAAUGGUGAUUGUGUUUGUUGAUCUCUGCCAUCCCGAGAUCAUCACUCCUAGCCUCCUCUGGAAACUCUCUGAGAGUUGGGGAAUUGUCUCUUUUAUAAGAGGCCUACACAGGCACGAGGUCAUACUUGGGCAGUUUUCGGCUUUGUGAAAAUCUCUCAGAUUGCACCGCACAGUAUACAACUGAUGAACCAGACAACCACAGUCGUUCUUUGGAUUGCAUUUUCUCCUGAGAUAUCAGACGCAUUUCACCAGGGCCACAGAAAGAAAAAUGAAGACCAAGAUACCGUGACAAAUGCCAACUACCUCGUAAGUGCAGAUAUUUUCAGUUAUCUAGGUAGCUAGAGCUUUGCAUAGGUAAUACCCUUU
rnacentral:lncRNA from 1 species